AGCUGGGACUGAGGACCAACUGUUGAUUAUGGGAGGAGCUGGGACUGAGGACCAACUAUUGAUUAUGGGAGGAGCUGGGACUGAGGACCAAUUGUUGAUUAUGGGAGGAGCUGGGACUGAGGACCAACUGUUGAUUAUGGGAGGAGCUGGGACUGAGGACCAAUUGUUGAUUAUGGGAGGAGCUGGGACUGAGGACCAAUUGUUGAUUAUGGGAGGAGCUGGGACUGAGGACCAAUUGUUGAUUAUGGGAGGAGCUGGGACUGAGGACCAACUGUUGAUUAUGGGAGGAGCUGGGACUGAGGACCAAUUGUUGAUUAUGGGAGGAGCUGGGACUGAGGACCAACUGUUGAUUAUGGGAGGAGCUGGGACUGAGGACCAACUGUUGAUUAUGGGAGGAGCUGGGACUGAGGACCAACUGUUGAUUAUGGGAGGAGCUGGGACUGAGGACCAACUGUUGACUACUGGAGGAGCUGAUGACUUCACAAGGUGUUAAUGACUAGACUAUAUAACACAGUGGUAUGAGGAGGUGUUAAUGACUAGACUAUAUAACACAGUGGUAUGAGGAGGUGUUAAUGACUAGACUAUAUAACACAGUGGUAUGAGGAGGUGUUAAUGACUAGACUAUAUAACACAGUGGUAUGAGGAGGUGUUAAUGACUAGACUAUAUAACACAGUGGUAUGAGGAGGUGUUAAUGACUAGACUAUAUAACACAGUGGUAUGAGGAGGUGUUAAUGACUAGACUAUAUAACACAGUGGUAUGAGGAGGUGUUAAUGACUAGACUAUAUAACACAGUGGUAUGAGGAGGUGUUAAUGACUAGACUAUAUAACACAGUGGUAUGAGGAGGUGUUAAUGACUAGACUAUAUAACACAGUGGUAUGAGGAGGUGUUAAUGACUAGACUAUAUAACACAGUGGUAUGAGGAGGUGUUAAUGACUAGACUAUAUAACACAGUGGUAUGAGGAGGUGUUAAUGACUAGACUAUAUAACACAGUGGUAUGAGGAGGUGUUAAUGACUAGACUAUAUAACACAGUGGUAUGAGGAGGUGUUAAUGACUAGACUAUAUAACACAGUGGUAUGAGGAGGUGUUAAUGACUAGACUAUAUAACACAGUGGUAUGAGGAGGUGUUAAUGACUAGACUAUAUAACACAGUGGUAUGAGGAGGUGUUAAUGACUAGACUAUAUAACACAGUGGUAUGAGGAGGUGUUAAUGACUAGACUAUAUAACACAGUGGUAUGAGGAGGUGUUAAUGACUAGACUAUAUAACACAGUGGUAUAAGGAGGAGCACUCUAAGCAGAUCUCGAAGACACCAGGGCCCUUUACUCAUUAAGCGUCUCGGAGUAUUAGUAAUGAUUUAGGAUCAGUGCUGCAUUUUAGUUCCUAAUGAAUAAUAUGACAUGGACACGGGCAACCUGAUCCUAGAUCAGCACUGCUACCCUGAGACAGGAGGCUUAUUGCCUCUAUUGACACUGUGGUAUGAGGAGGCCCAAGUCCUGAGGAGACGUUAAGCUUGAGGCCUUGGAUCCUGGCCUAACUGACGGGCCGCCCCCAGGUGGUGAAGGUAGGAAACAACACCUGCACUUCACUGAUCCUCAACACUGGGGCUGGUGUUGGGCUAUAUCACCGCCUGGUACGGCCACUGCGCCGCCCACAACAGAAGGGCUAUCCAGAGGGUGGUGCGGUCUGCACAAUGCAUCACCAGGGGGCAAAUUACCUGCUCUCCAUGACACCUACAGCACCCGAUGUCACAGGAAGGCCAUUCCCUACCCCAGGCAUUGUCCCAUUCAGUGGGAUGACUGGCUGUCUGUUUGCUCCUAUCCCUCUCCCAGACAUAGUCUCCAACAGGUCAAUCAUACUGGAGGUCAGGGGUCUCCAACAGGUCAAUCAUACUCGAGGUCAGGGGUCUCCAACAGGUCAAACAUAGUAGAGGUCAGGGGUCACCAACAGGUCAAACAUAGUGGAGGUCAGGGGUCUCCAACAGGUCAAACAUAGUGGAGGUCAGGGGUCUCCAACAGGUCAAACAUACUGGAGGUCAGGGGUCACCAACAGGUCAAACAUAGUAGAGGUCAGGGGUCUCCAACAGGUCAAACAUAGUAGAGGUCAGGGGUCUCCAACAGGUCAAUCAUAGUAGAGGUCAGGGGUCUCCAACAGGUCAAACAUAGUUGAGGUCAGGGGUCUCCAACAGGUCAAACAUAGUAGAGGUCAGGGGUCUCCAACAGGUCAAACAUAGUAGAGGUCAGGGGUCUCCAACAGGUCAAACAUAGUUGAGGUCAGGGGUCUCCAACAGGUCAAACAUAGUGGAGAUCAGGGGUCUCCAACAGGUCAAACAUAGUGGAGGUCAGGGGUCUCCAACAGGUCAAACAUAGUGGAGGUCAGGGGUCUCCAACAGGUCAAACAUAGUGGAGGUCAGGGGUCUCCAACAGGUCAAACAUAGUGGAGGUCAGGGGUCUCCAACAGGUCAAACAUAGUGGAGGUCAGGGGUCUCCAACAGGUCAAACAUAGUGGAGGUCAGGGGUCUCCAACAGGUCUCCAACAGGUCAAACAUACUGGAGGUCAGGGGUCUCCAACAGGUCAAACAUACUGGAGGUCGGGGUCUCCAACAGGUCAAACAUACUGGAGGUCGGGGGUCUCCAACAGGUCAAUCAUAGUAGAGGUCAGGGGUCUCCAACAGGUCAAACAUAGUAGAGGUCAGGGUUCUCCAACAGGUCAAACAUACUGGAGGUCAGGGGUCUCCAACAGGUCAAUCAUUGUAGAGGUCAGGGGUCUCCAACAGGUCAAACAUACUGGAGGUCAGGGGUCUCCAACAGGUCAAUCAUUGUAGAGGUCAGGAGUCUCCAACAGGUCAGGUUGGAGACCCCCUGGUGUAGGUUGGAGACCCCUGGUGUAGGUUGGAGACCCCUGGUGUCAUAUUAAAUAAAUGUUU